UCCUGAACUAGCAGCAAAGGUGUUUCCACGUGAGACAAGCAUGGUCGAAAGAAAUGUCCAAACAAGCAUUGCUAAGCCACACAGAUUUCACGCGCGCAGAUGUAUGAGUGACAAUUUUUCAAAGUUAAAUUGUCAUAGAUACGACAGAGGAACGACGGAGGAGGUGGGAGGGAAAUUUACCACCCUGUUAUAAUUGUUGGAAUUAAAGGAAGACGCGCACAUACAACCCAUGAAUGGGUCAACUGUGUUGUGAACCUGAAUUUAAAUUCUAUAGUUAGUUGGCAGAAUAUUUGAUGUGCUGCUUGGAACGACCUUGAAAUGAGCAAACCAAAGCGCUUGUUCUCAGGUUUACCGCACGCCCAGGCUUGCCAGCACUUCCGUAUUUUUCAUUUGCCCGAUAAGUGCUUUUACCAAGUAAGAACCUCUAAAUCCGCGCCUGAUUAAACGUCACUUGUUGAUGAAAAAGUGUUAUAUCUGAGAAAUCUUUACUGUGUGUUUAUUAUGCUACAAACGUCAUGUCGGGAACUGCAUACCCUAAACAAGAAAACUGUUUACUCCCAUUUUCUUCCCCGCCUUUGGUUAACUCCGCCUCCUCCUCUAACACGCCCACUGCAUGACGUCAGGGAAUGAGAGGCGGCGAAGUGUUUCCUCGAUCCUUGGCCCGAUGCACCCGACUCCCUCUUUUCCCGCCAUCGUGAUUCCUCUGUUUUCUUCUUUUUUUUUUUUUGGCGGGAAAGCCGUUCGACACAAAUCCUUCAUUGUUAUUGUUUAUUUACUGAGUUUACGUCAUUUUACUCACAUCAGAGGGGAUUAAAAAAUCAAUAAAUAAAGGAUAUAGCAACUG